rnacentral:lncRNA from 1 species
AAAUGGUUUUACAACUCGGCAUUCAUGUUGUUGUUUUUCUUUGUGCAAGAAUUUUUUAUGGGGUGUCGUCCAAUCUUGACUCUUUUUCACUCAAAUUCACAUUAAUGCAUGAGUCUAUUUCUAAGGCAAGUGCUUAUUCUUCAUUUGUCUAUAUAUUUUUUCUUCAUUUUUUUUUCGGUAGAAGCAGAUGUUUCUACACAGUUUUUCUUUUUUCUUUUUCUUGCACUUGCCCUUUUUCAACAUUUCUUCUAAGGAUUAAUACCCCAAACUUAUCUUUUUGCACAAAUUUUAC